AGAUGACAAAGAAAAGAAGAAACAAUGGUGUUGCCACAAAGGAUCACAGCCAUGUGCAGCCUACGGAUAAGGCUAUUAGGUUCAUCAUUCAAAACACAGCAAAGGCUGCAGUUGUUAGGGACAUUUCUAAAGAAUAUCUUUGAUGCCUAUGUGCUUCCCAAGCUGUAUAUGAAGCUGCAUUAUGGUGUGAGUUGUGCCAUUCACAGCAAGGUAGUCAGGAAUCAAUCUUGUGAAGCCCACGAAGGCUGAACAUUCCCAUCUCGAUUUAGACCUGCAGGUGCUGCCUCAUUACCUCCACCAAAGCUCA
rnacentral:lncRNA from 1 species